AUUGAACGCUGGCGGCAGGCCUAACACAUGCAAGUCGAGCGGCAGCGGGAAAGUAGCUUGCUACUUUUGCCGGCGAGCGGCGGACGGGUGAGUAAUGCCUGGGGACCUGCCCAGUCGAGGGGGAUAACAGUUGGAAACGACUGCUAAUACCGCAUACGCCCUACGGGGGAAAGGAGGGGACCUUCGGGCCUUUCGCGAUUGGAUGAACCCAGGUGGGAUUAGCUAGUUGGUGGGGUAAUGGCUCACCAAGGCGACGAUCCCUAGCUGGUCUGAGAGGAUGAUCAGCCACACUGGAACUGAGACACGGUCCAGACUCCUACGGGAGGCAGCAGUGGGGAAUAUUGCACAAUGGGGGAAACCCUGAUGCAGCCAUGCCGCGUGUGUGAAGAAGGCCUUCGGGUUGUAAAGCACUUUCAGCGAGGAGGAAAGGUUGUUGGCUAAUACCCAGCAACUGUGACGUUACUCGCAGAAGAAGCACCGGCUAACUCCGUGCCAGCCGCCGCGGUAAUAC
rnacentral:rRNA from 1 species